CCGUAAAUAAACCAAAUUUUCUACAUGUUGAGAAGUAUGUUCUGCUGUCAGUUUUGUGGUAAUUCUGUAAUCUUUCCAUUCCUAAUUGAAUAAAAGACAAUGUGCUGUCUUACUAUUUAAUAGUCCCCAUCCCUACUGCAUUAAUUUCUUGUCAGUAAUCUUUCUAAGUGACGGGGUUCAGUAUGGCACGCCUUAAAAAAAACUUACGGUGGAAAACAAGCGUCAAUUGGAGAAGUUCUUUUUAGUCCCUUUCUGAUUUGGGCUUUUUGGGAUUUACUUAAUCCUUGAUGUUACUGAGUAGGUCAGCUGUUUUAUGCAACCUAGGUCAAAUAGGAGAUUCUCACCAGUUCCUAAAUGGAUUUACCAAUGAAGAAAUUGUAGUUCUCUGAUUAGCCUUUGAAACCAUGUUGUGGUAUUUUUGACUGGAAUUACAAAAUUCCACACUAAUUGAAAUAAAAUGCAUAAAGGAUCACUCCCCUUUUUGGUACCAUACCAUACACAGUCAACCCAGCAAACAAAAAUAGGCAAUUUGAACGCCCUGCAUGUCUUUUCAUGACUGGAUGUUUAUCUAGGUUCUGGUUAGUCCCAAAAACAUUUGUAGGACGCAGUUUCAGGUUUCCUUGGGAGUUUUUUUUUUCUUGUGGGACUUCCUGGUCUGUUGCUGAUGUUCACAAAAAACUUAAGUGACCAUGUAAUAUUGUCAUUGUUUUUAAAGAUGUAUACACUGUUUUAUUUGAACAAUGUACCAUUUACCUUAAAAGUCGCCCUGCAAUAUCAUUACUUAUGUUUUGGGGGAAAAAUAGACAAAAAGCUCUAAAGGACCAUGAAACAAAUUACCAUGAAUGUCCUUAAGAGGUCCAAAUGGAAACUACAAAUCUCCUGUAGGAAAUAUCACACACUGAGGUCUUAAAAUGUCUGUUUGAAGGUUAGCAAAAUGUAUUUACUGAGAACCACCUUAAAAGAUUGUGACACGGAGCUGACAUGGUCUUCAGUGACAUCCUGAGAACUGAUGGGGAAUUAGCCAAUAGUCUGUCAGAAAAUAUCACUUUGAGACCUUCAAAUAACUUGUUAAGGACUAGGUCCUUAGAAUGUGGUAAAACAUUUCUGAUAAGGUUUUCUGUAACAUCCAAGGAAGUGAGAGGGAGCAACUCAAUGUUACCCUAGAGAUCUUUACUAUAGGACCAUUAUUUGACCAUCAUAAAAGGGCCCCCUGGAAAAUGAAACUUCACAGGAUGUUCUUAGGACUUCCCCGGUAGACUAUUUCAGGUUGUGAGUGAUGGUAUGUCUCGCUCUGCCUUACAAUUGCAGUUUUAUAACCCCCUCCGUGUCUCCCUCACACACCCUGUCACUGUCUUUCAGCUAGGUCAGUCUCUGACUUUCUCUAGAUUAGAUUAAACAAAUACCUCCGUUCUGUCCCAACUUAAAAGGUCAAAAGUAAAGAACCAGGUUGAUAACCUACUGCCCCCUGAAUAAAUGUGUAAAGUAAUCAAAACAAAUAGUUUUGUGAGGUGUUUUACAUCUGCCUGUUUUUCUCUUCACAAAACAAAAGCUGAUUCAAAGUUGGUAUUUCCAUUUGCUUAUCAUCAAAUAAAUGGCUUGUGAGAAA
ensembl:lncRNA